rnacentral:rRNA from 1 species
CCUACGGGCGGCAGCAGUGGGGAAUAUUGGACAAUGGGGGGAACCCUGAUCCAGCCAUGCCGCGUGUGUGGAGAAGGCCCUCGGGUUGUAAAGCACUUUCAGUGAGGAAGAACGCCUGGUGGUUAAUACCCAUCAGGAAAGACAUCACUCACAGAAGAAGCACCGGCUAACUCCGUGCCAGCAGCCGCGGUAAUACGGAGGGUGCGAGCGUUAAUCGGAAUUACUGGGCGUAAAGCGCGCGUAGGUGGCUUGAUAAGCCGGUUGUGAAAGCCCCGGGCUCAACCUGGGAACGGCAUCCGGAACUGUCAAGCUAGAGUGCAGGAGAGGAAGGUAGAAUUCCCGGUGUAGCGGUGAAAUGCGUAGAGAUCGGGAGGAAUACCAGUGGCGAAGGCGGCCUUCUGGACUGACACUGACACUGAGGUGCGAAAGCGUGGGUAGCAAACAGGAUUAGAUACCCGUGUAGUC